AUUGAACGCUGGCGGCAGGCCUAACACAUGCAAGUCGAGCGGAUGACGGGAGCUUGCUCUCUGAUUUAGCGGCGGACGGGUGAGUAAUGCCUAGGAAUCUGCCUGGUAGUGGGGGAUAACGUUCCGAAAGGAACGCUAAUACCGCAUACGUCCUACGGGAGAAAGCCGGGGACCUUCGGGCCUUGCGCUAUCAGCUCAGCCGGGGUCGGAUUAGCUAGUUGGUGAGGUAAUGGCUCACCAAGGCGACGAUCCGUAACUGGUCGGAGAGGAUUAUCAGUCACACUGGAACUGAGACACGGUCCAGACUCCUACGGGAGGCAGCAGUGGGGAAUAUUGGACAAUGGGCGAAAGCCUGAUCCAGCCAUGCCGCGUGUGUGAAGAAGGUCUUCGGAUUGUAAAGCACUUUAAGUUGGGAGGAAGGGCAGUAAGUUAAUACCUUGCUGUUUUGACGUUACCGACAGAAUAAGCACCGGCUAACUUCGUGCCAGCAGCCGCAGUAACAC
rnacentral:rRNA from 1 species